rnacentral:rRNA from 1 species
UACGUAGGCAGCAAGCGUUGUUCGGAGUUACUGGGCGUAAAGAGUGCGUAGGCGGUUUCGUAAGUUUGGUGUGAAAUCUCCCGGCUUAACUGGGAGGGUGCGCCGAAAACUGCGGGGCUGGAGUGUGGGAGAGGUAAGCGGAAUUCCUGGUGUAGCGGUGAAAUGCGUAGAUAUCAGGAGGAACACCAAUGGCGAAGGCAGCUCGCUGGGACGGUACUGACGCUGAGGCGCGAAAGCGUGGGGAGCAAACAGG